rnacentral:lncRNA from 1 species
ACAAAUUUUGUUUUUCCUUUCCUUUUCUUUCUUUAUAUUCCUUAUCCACGUUUUCUUCUUUCUCCUUCCCUGCUAGUUCUUCCGCCCAGACCUUUCUCUUCCCUCUUCCAGGAACGAAGGUAAUUUGGAGAUUCUGUUGUCCGUUCAAUCACCAAUAGGAUCUGUCGUUCAGUAAUCUAUCCAAGUUUCUUAAAAAAAUUUCCCAAAUUGCUGAUUUGACUUCGUCGAUUACCGCCUCUACUCGCUUUUCGAACCCAGGUAUUUUGGGCUUAUGUUGUACGUAGUAAUCAUUAUACAUUUAUUUUCCAAUGCUGACAAAUGGUUUUUUUUCCUAAUAUUUUUUUUUUCAGUGAGUGAGUUGUUGAUUUUGAUCGUUUGGAUAUUGAGUGUUCUUUGAUUUUCGUUGAAAUUGAUAGUAGCUUGAUUCAUACUUUGACUCCAUUCUUGUAUAUCUCAUGAAAUUCCUGCAAAAAUUAUAAAGAUGGCCGUUGUGUUAGGGACUGGAAAUACGCAAGUGAGUGUUUGACAAAAGAAUGCCCUUGAUGUAGGAAACAUUGCAAUCUCUGAGAUCUAUUUUUCGAGCAAAUUGGUGAAUGAGAUCUCUACAUAUGUCCCUGAAUUAAUAUACAUUGCCUCUUUGUGCAAAUUUGGAUAUGAUUAUUAACAAUUAAUGUCAACAUAUCAAUGGAACCCCAUCAACAACAAAUGCAGGUACAAAUGCUUCAACUCUUCUUCCAAACCUAACAAAUACGAGAGAUAUAUAAGGUAUGAGUGCAAAAAUUGUGAGCAAUCUUACGCUCAUGGGGCUAGAAAGUGAAGGAUAAUUACUUUUAGGACUCAUUUGGUUAGACUGUAAGAAAUACCCUUGAGGAGCGGAACACAAAAGGCAAAAAUUUAGGAAUUUUGAUAAACAAGUUGAGGGUAGUUGGUCCAAUCCUUUGGCUAUGUUUUCAAUAAGGAAGCACGUAGAAUUUAUGUGCUAAAAUGAUAAUUCUCAAUGAACUAGCUUUUGGCUUUGUUGAAAGGAUGGAAUUUGGACAAUAUUGUAGUGUAGCAUAUUUUAAAUUUGAUCCUCCAUUUCGUAGGGUUAUUGAUGAGGACAUCUAUUUUUAUUUAUUUCUAGUUGGACUUUAUUUUUGUUUCUUAUUUAUGUAAUUGCGAUUGUAUUGGCUCAAGUCCAUUCCAGUUAGUGUUUUGUCUUUAUUAUUUAAAUCUAAUUUGCCGUGUAAUUUCAUUUAGUUGAUGAACGAAUAAAAUUAUUGGUGGCUUGUGGUGAAAUUUCUCUCUUCCUACUUUCUUCUUCUUCUUCUUCUUCUUCUUCUGCUGUUGAAUCUUCUACUUUUCCCAUUCUUCUCCUAAUCCUUCUCUCUUAUAAAUCUGUUUUAUUUCUCCAUUAAUUCUCCAGUUGGUGCUACAUCAAAUUUGGCAUUAGAAUCGAAACUUGGGUAAUUUCUCUCCCACAAUCCGAAAUUUCUUCCCG